AGAGUUUGAUCCUGGCUCAGGAUGAACGCUGGCGGCGUGCUUAACACAUGCAAGUCGAACGGUGAACACGGAGCUUGCUCUGUGGGAUCAGUGGCGAACGGGUGAGUAACACGUGAGCAACCUGCCCCUGACUCUGGGAUAAGCGCUGGAAACGGCGUCUAAUACUGGAUAUGUGACGUGACCGCAUGGUCUGCGUCUGGAAAGAAUUUCGGUUGGGGAUGGGCUCGCGGCCUAUCAGCUUGUUGGUGAGGUAAUGGCUCACCAAGGCGUCGACGGGUAGCCGGCCUGAGAGGGUGACCGGCCACACUGGGACUGAGACACGGCCCAGACUCCUACGGGAGGCAGCAGUGGGGAAUAUUGCACAAUGGGCGCAAGCCUGAUGCAGCAACGCCGCGUGAGGGACGACGGCCUUCGGGUUGUAAACCUCUUUUAGCAGGGAAGAAGCGAAA
rnacentral:rRNA from 1 species